rnacentral:rRNA from 1 species
CUUUACUGUAGCCUGGUAUUGGGUUCGGGCUUUGACUGCGCAGGAUAGGUGGGAGACUAUGAAGUCGUUCUUGUGGGAACGAUGGAGUCAACGGUGAGAUACCACUCUGUCAGAGCUAGAAUUCUAACCUUCACCCGUUAUCCGGGGAAGGAACCGUAUCAGGUGGGCAGUUUGACUGGGGCGGUCGCCUCCUAAAAGGUAACGGAGGCGCGCAAAGGUGUUCUCAGGCUGGUUGGAAAUCAGCCGUAGAGUGUAAAGGCAGAAGAACGCUUGACUGUGAGAGUGACAACUCAAGCAGGGUGGAAACACGGCCUUAGUGAUCCGACGGUAUGCGCGUGGAAGUGCCGUCGCUCAACGGAUAAAAGUUA